GGUUAAGCGACUAAGCGUACACGGUGGAUGCCCUGGCAGUCAGAGGCGAUGAAGGACGUGCUAAUCUGCGAAAAGCGUCGGUAAGGUGAUAUGAACCGUUAUAGCCGGCGAUGUCCGAAUGGGGAAACCCAGUGCAAUUCGUUGCACUAUCGUUAACUGAAUACAUAGGUUAACGAGGCGAACCGGGGGAACUGAAACAUCUAAGUACCCCGAGGAAAAGAAAUCAACCGAGAUUCCCCCAGUAGCGGCGAGCGAACGGGGAGCAGCCCAGAGUCUGAAUCAGCUUGUGUGUUAGUGGAACGGUCUGGAAAGUCCGACGGUACAGGGUGAUAGUCCCGUACACCAAAAUGCACAGGCUGUGAACUCGAAGAGUAGGGCGGGACACGUGGUAUCCUGUCUGAAUAUGGGGGGACCAUCCUCCAAGGCUAAAUACUCCUGACUGACCGAUAGUGAACCAGUACCGUGAGGGAAAGGCGAAAAGAACCCCGGCGAGGGGAGUGAAAAAGAACCUGAAACCGUGUACGUACAAGCAGUGGGAGCACCUUCGGGUGUGACUGCGUACCUUUUGUAUAAUGGGUCAGCGACUUAUAUUCUGUAGCAAGGUUAACCGUAUAGGGGAGCCGCAGGGAAACCGAGUCUUAACUGGGCGUUAAGUUGCAGGGUAUAGACCCGAAACCCGGUGAUCUAGCCAUGGGCAGGUUGAAGGUUGGGUAACACUAACUGGAGGACCGAACCGACUAAUGUUGAAAAAUUAGCGGAUGACUUGUGGCUGGGGGUGAAAGGCCAAUCAAACCGGGAGAUAGCUGGUUCUCCCCGAAAGCUAUUUAGGUAGCGCCUCGUGAAUUCAUCUUCGGGGGUAGAGCACUGUUUCGGCUAGGGGGUCAUCCCGACUUACCAAUCCGAUGCAAACUACGAAUACCGAAGAAUGUUAUCACGGGAGACACACGGCGGGUGCUAACGUCCGUCGUGAAGAGGGAAACAACCCAGACCGCCAGCUAAGGUCCCAAAGUCAUGGUUAAGUGGGAAACGAUGUGGGAAGGCACAGACAGCCAGGAUGUUGGCUUAGAAGCAGCCAUCAUUUAAAGAAAGCGUAAUAGCUCACUGGUCGAGUCGGCCUGCGCGGAAGAUGUAACGGGGCUAAACCAUGCACCGAAGCUGCGGCAGCGACACUAUGUGUUGUUGGGUAGGGGAGCGUUCUGUAAGCCUGCGAAGGUGACCUGUGAGGGUUGCUGGAGGUAUCAGAAGUGCGAAUGCUGACAUAAGUAACGAUAAAGCGGGUGAAAAGCCCGCUCGCCGGAAGACCAAGGGUUCCUGUCCAACGUUAAUCGGGGCAGGGUGAGUCGACCCCUAAGGCGAGGCCGAAAGGCGUAGUCGAUGGGAAACAGGUUAAUAUUCCUGUACUUGGUGUUACUGCGAAGGGGGGACGGAGAAGGCUAUGUUAGCCGGGCGACGGUUGUCCCGGUUUAAGCAUGUAGGCUGGUUGUCCAGGCAAAUCCGGAUAAUCAAGGCUGAGGUGUGAUGACGAGGCACUACGGUGCUGAAGUAACAAAUGCCCUGCUUCCAGGAAAAGCCUCUAAGCAUCAGGUAACAUUAAAUCGUACCCCAAACCGACACAGGUGGUCAGGUAGAGAAUACCAAGGCGCUUGAGAGAACUCGGGUGAAGGAACUAGGCAAAAUGGUGCCGUAACUUCGGGAGAAGGCACGCUGGUGUGUAGGUGAAGUCCCUGCGGAUGGAGCUGAGACCAGUCGAAGAUACCAGCUGGCUGCAACUGUUUAUUAAAAACACAGCACUGUGCAAACACGAAAGUGGACGUAUACGGUGUGACGCCUGCCCGGUGCCGGAAGGUUAAUUGAUGGGGUUAUCCGUAAGGAGAAGCUCUUGAUCGAAGCCCCGGUAAACGGCGGCCGUAACUAUAACGGUCCUAAGGUAGCGAAAUUCCUUGUCGGGUAAGUUCCGACCUGCACGAAUGGCGUAAUGAUGGCCAGGCUGUCUCCACCCGAGACUCAGUGAAAUUGAACUCGCUGUGAAGAUGCAGUGUACCCGCGGCAAGACGGAAAGACCCCGUGAACCUUUACUAUAGCUUGACACUGAACAUUGAGCCUUGAUGUGUAGGAUAGGUGGGAGGCUUUGAAGCGUGGACGCCAGUCUGCGUGGAGCCAACCUUGAAAUACCACCCUUUAAUGUUUGAUGUUCUAACGUUGGCCCCUGACCGGGGUUGCGGACAGUGUCUGGUGGGUAGUUUGACUGGGGCGGUCUCCUCCCAAAGCGUAACGGAGGAGCACGAAGGUUAGCUAAUCCUGGUCGGACAUCAGGAGGUUAGUGCAAUGGCAUAAGCUAGCUUGACUGCGAGCGUGACGGCGCGAGCAGGUGCGAAAGCAGGUCAUAGUGAUCCGGUGGUUCUGAAUGGAAGGGCCAUCGCUCAACGGAUAAAAGGUACUCCGGGGAUAACAGGCUGAUACCGCCCAAGAGUUCAUAUCGACGGCGGUGUUUGGCACCUCGAUGUCGGCUCAUCACAUCCUGGGGCUGAAGUAGGUCCCAAGGGUAUGGCUGUUCGCCAUUUAAAGUGGUACGCGAGCUGGGUUUAGAACGUCGUGAGACAGUUCGGUCCCUAUCUGCCGUGGGCGCUGGAGAAUUGAGGGGGGCUGCUCCUAGUACGAGAGGACCGGAGUGGACGCAUCACUGGUGUUCGGGUUGUCAUGCCAAUGGCACUGCCCGGUAGCUAAAUGCGGAAGAGAUAAGUGCUGAAAGCAUCUAAGCACGAAACUUGCCCCGAGAUGAGUUCUCCCUGAGACUUUAAGUCUCCUGAAGGAACGUUGAAGACGACGACGUUGAUAGGCCGGGUGUGUAAGCGCAGCGAUGCGUUGAGCUAACCGGUACUAAUGAACCGUGAGGCUUAACCUU
rnacentral:rRNA from 1 species